ACGUUCUCUCUCCUCGAGGCACGCUUCUGUCUGUCUCUCUUUCUUUCUUUUCAAAUUACUCUUUCUCACUCUUAACACUUUCAGUCUCCUCUUCUAUACCCAAAACUCACCUUUCCGGCAACUUCUCUCUCUCUCUCUAUAUAUAUAUAUUCUCCAACAAAACCAAAACGCAUCAUAACCCAUCUUCUCCUCUUUAUGGUUUGAAUUUGAUGGUGACCAAGCUUCUGGGUUUCUACAUUUUUUUUUUUUGAAGAUCAUGAGCAGCCCUAAAUCAAUCUAUUUUUGAAUCGUUCUUGAAUGACGAUGUUCUUUUAGGGGUUUUCACGCACUAGGGUUCAUUCUUAAGAACAUUUCAAUUCCAAUUUGGGUGUCCAUUGUUCUUUGGGUGAUAGUUUUUUAGGGUUUUUCACGCCGCAGGGUUCAUUAUGAGGAACUUGUCCAAUUUGUUCGUUGGGUUUUCUUGAUCGGUGGUUGUUCUCUGGCUGAUGGUUUGGGUUCAUUUUGAGAACGUUUCCAAUUUGUUCUUUGGGUUUUCUUGAUCCGUGGUGGUUCUUUGGUUCUGAGAACGUUUCCAAUUUGUUCUUUUGGUUUUCUUGAUGACAGUUUCAUCUAAAGAAUCAAUGGGCCGGUUUGACGAUCUCACCCCAGAUUUGAUGUACGAAAUUCUUAAACGGCUGUCCCUGAAGAAGCUUCUAAUCAGCCGACAUGUAUGCAAACCGUGGAGCUCUCUAGUAAUGAAUCGUGAAUUUUUGUAUCAGCGCUUGGCAAUGUCAAUAGCCAACAAGGGUGACAACAAACUUAUCCUCAGGUAUUAUUCUGUGGCUCACAACAAAGAAGUUAUUUCUGUUCACGAUAAUGAUGAGAUUUUCAAGCAAACUUCAGUAUGUGAAGAAUCUUAUAAAAGUGGAUUAAUUGAGCCUGAUAGAAUCUUGAAUAUUGUUGGGUCCUGUGCGGGAUUGUAUUAUUUGUCUGGCAAUUUGGAGGGAGAUGGUAGGGUGGUAAUUUGGAAUCCGACGCUUAAAAAGGCUAUGCACCUUCCCCCUCCACCCAGUAUUCAAUAUGACGAUGUUCACAAAUUUUCGUUGGGCUUUGGAUACAGUACUUCGUCUGAAGACUUCAAGGUAGUGAGAGUUGUCUUCCCUUGGGAUAAUAACGUUAAUGAAUUCGGACCAGAAAUAGAGAUAUUUGAUUUGUGUACUGGUAGGUGGAGAACCAAGGACUGUGAUUGGGGCUAUUAUAUUGAUUCACAAUCAUCUAUAUUCACCCAUGGAGCUUCCCAUUGGAUUGCUUUUAAAUAUGUUCCACUUGUUGGGGAGGAAGAUGUAGGGAAUAACCCAGGUGGAGAAAAUGACCAAGGUUUGGAUGGGGAUGAAGUGGAAGGGUAUGCCCACGAAUUGGCACACGGGCAUGGCCCAAAUUUAUAUAACAAAGAACAUGUGAUUUUACUAUUCCAUAUGUGUUCAGAAGUCUUUGGUGUUAUUUCCAGGUAGUGUAGAAAGCGGUCAAAAAGUUGCAAUGUCUCUGACUGGGGAAUGUAUCACCCUUUUUCAUUAUAAUCAUGAUUCUGUUUAUAGCACAUCAUGUGCAAUAUGGAAUAUGCAAGAGUAUGGAGUGGCGGAUAAUUGGACUUUCUUGUACUCAAUUGAUUUGGGAUGUCAUCCUAGCAGAGUGUUAGGAUUCAGAAAAACUGGGCAUCUUCUUAUGGUUAAAUUUGACGGUGAUAUAAUCUCGUAUGAUCCUAACCUUCCACCAGAUGUCAAUGAGAACACAAUUGCAACUUCGUCAUUCGAGAAUUCAGUCUACUUGGAUAGCUAUGUAGAGAGCCCAGUUUUUUACGGCGAAGAUCCAAAUUUUUUAAAGCAGGGAAAGUGCAAAUCAUUGGUAUCUUCAUAGAGUUCUUGGUAAGUUGAAGAAUAAAGCCAAUCCAAGCCAUCAAGAGGAAAGUGUCUAUGUGAUGAUUACAAAUGCUACUUGGAGGUCAACUACAAAUUCGACAUCCGCAAGGAUUGGGCUGCAACUUAAGCAGAUGAAUCAUCCAUCAGUGUUAGCGUGAAUUCUUUCCCCAAUUUUUGUGAGCUAGUUGACCUUAAUAUACAAGUGUUCCUUUUUCUUUCCUUUUCAAAUCUUCUUUCUUUAUUUUGUUCUUUCUGAGUAAACUUUGUGGUGGAGGUUGUUAACAAAUAGAAAUAGGACUAUUAAGAGUUGAUAUCAAUGGGGGUAAUGAAUAUGUUGUGUUUGAUAAUUGUAUCUUUUUCCUUUACAUUCUUGUUGCUACUGGUGCUGUUAAAGUUUGUAGAAGAGACAUUCUUUCUCUGUACUAUUAUAUGUUCUGUUUUUGGCAA